rnacentral:rRNA from 1 species
UACGUAGGGUGCAAGCGUUGUUCGGAAUUACUGGGCGUAAAGGGCUCGUAGGCGGCCAACUAAGUCGGACGUGAAAUCCCCAGGCUCAACCUGGGAACUGCAUCCGAUACUGGAUGGCUUGAAUUCGGGAGAGGGAUGCAGAAUUCCAGGUGUAGCGGUGAAAUGCGUAGAUAUCUGGAGGAAUACCGGUGGCGAAGGCGGCAUCCUGGACCGACAUUGACGCUGAGGAGCGAAAGCCAGGGGAGCAAACGGG